AUGGUUGCUUUAAGACUUGUAAGUCAUUUGCUCAGUAUUUUAAGUGAACUGUUUUUUUUUUCCACUUGUGUUACUAAAACAAUGUGUUUCUUUUACAGAAUCUGUCUACAGUGUGGAAAGAUGGGAAAUUUCCUCUUGAGAAUGUCAGAAGGGUUAAAAAUGUUGAUAUGUGUGCUUUAUUCGGUUUUUUCUCCCCUCCCAUUCAUUUUGAACUUCAUUCUGAAAACAAAAUUAAUAGGCUGAAAGACUGAUCUAUCUGGUGUGAAAGAAGAUAGGAGAGAACUGACAUACUUCUUACAUGGAAGAUCUGGUUUUCUGUAAGGCUACAGAAUCUAUUAAUAGCCGGGGAUUUAGCUCAGUGGUGGUGCCGCCUGCCUCACAAGAGCAAUGUCCUGAGUUCGAUCCCUGGUACCAAAAAAAAAGAUGGAACAGACUCUAUUAAUAAACACCACAGUCUUUUUCAGAGAUAAUUCAAUUGUCAAGCCUCUCAAAUAUUUCUCUUCUCAUUCAAGUCUCACUAGUACCUUGUAAGGAAGCAUCAUUUAUAGACUUAAUUUAUUCUGAUAGCAA
rnacentral:lncRNA from 1 species